rnacentral:rRNA from 1 species
UGGUGGAGCGAUUUGUCUGGUUAAUUCCGAUAACGAACGAGCCUGCUAAAUAGACGGGCCAUCCCGUUGUGGGUCGACCCGAUUUGCUUCUUAGAGGGACAAGUGGCGUUCCUAGCCACGCGAAAUUGAGCAAUAACA